UGGGGAAUAUUGGACAAUGGGCGAAAGCCUGAUCCAGCCAUGCCGCGUGUGUGAAGAAGGUCUUCGGAUUGUAAAGCACUUUAAGUUGGGAGGAAGGGCAGUAAGCGAAUACCUUGCUGUUUUGACGUUACCGACAGAAUAAGCACCGGCUAACUCUGUACCAGCAGCCGCGGUAAUACAGAGGGUGCAAGCGUUAAUCGGAAUUACUGGGCGUAAAGCGAGCGUAGGUGGUUCGUUAAGUUGAAUGUGAAAGCCCCGGGCUCAACCUGGGAACUGCAUCCAAAACUGGCGAGCUAGAGUAGGGCAGAGGGUGGUGGAAUUUCCUGUGUAGCGGUGAAAUGCGUAGAUAUAGGAAGGAACACCAGUGGCGAAGGCGACCACCUGGGCUCAUACUGACACUGAGGUGCGAAAGCGUGGGGAGCAAACAGG
rnacentral:rRNA from 1 species